rnacentral:rRNA from 1 species
UACGUAGGGUGCAAGCGUUGUCCGGAAUUAUUGGGCGUAAAGAGCUCGUAGGCGGUUUGUCGCGUCUGCUGUGAAAACUCGGGGCUCAACUCCGAGCUUGCAGUGGGUACGGGCAGACUAGAGUGCGGUAGGGGAGACUGGAAUUCUCGGUGUAGCGGUGAAAUGCGUAGAUAUCGAGAGGAACACCUGCGGCGAAGGCGGGUUGCUGGGCCGACACUGACGCUGAUGCGCGAAAGCCAGGGGAGCGAACGGG